UACGAAGGGGGCUAGCGUUGUUCGGAUUUACUGGGCGUAAAGCGCACGUAGGCGGAUUGUUAAGUCGGGGGUGAAAUCCUGGAGCUCAACUUCAGAAUUGCCUUCGAUACUGGCUUUCUAGAGGCUGGAAGAGGUUAGUGGAAUUCCCAGUGUAGAGGUGAAAUUCGUAGAUAUUGGGAAGAACACCAGUGGCGAAGGCGGCUCACUGGCCCGUUACUGACGCUCAGGCGCGAUAGCGUGGGGAUCAAACAGG
rnacentral:rRNA from 1 species